AAUCACUAGUAUCUGAGAGGUGAGAGGCACCAUAUUUUACUCAAAGCUAUUAAUGCCACCAAACUCCACUUUAGGCUACUCUCAGUUUUUUGGUUGAAGAGACUUUUUUUUUGUCAAUUUAUAUAUCGUAUCUCAGAACUUUACAUAAUUUCCAAAGAUAAUCUUCCAUAUUGCAUUUAAUCUGAUAUUUCUAAAACAGCAUCAGUAGACAUUUUUUUAGUAAGUCUGUUGUACUAAAACAUGGACAGCUAUAAGACUGACUGAAAGAAAUCAUUAAGACUGUGAACAUGUAGAGCAAAGUUUAAAGCAAGAAGUGACAGCAAAAACUUGGAAUUUUGUAAUGUCAAUAAUUAACAUCAAGAUAACUGGAUAUAUAGUGGUUAAAACUGCAUUGAAGCAUGUGCCUGAAAUUCCAGCACUCAGGAGACAUAUGACACCCUGUAUAAAGAUAAAAAGAAGAAGUAAGAAAGGAGAGAGGGAGGAAAGGAAGGAAAACAAAGGAACAAAGGAAGGAAUAAAGGGAGGAAAUAAAGUUAGUGCAAAAAAGGCAAUUUUUCUUCUUUUUCCAUUACUGAAUCUAUUUAUUCACUUUACAUCCCAAUCAUAGCCCCUCCUCUCCUCCCAGCCCAGUCCACCUUACACAGUCCUUCCCAUCUCUCUCUUUCACCUCUUAGAAUGGGAACUGUGCUCCCCAGCACCAACCCACCGUGGUAUCUUAAGUCACUAUAAGAGUAGACAUUCUCUGCCACUGAGGCCAGGCAAGGUGGCCCAGUUACAGCAACAGGAUCCACAGGUAGGCAACAGAGUCAGGGUAAGCAUCCACUCCAGUUGUUUGGGAACCCACAUGAAGACCAAGCUGCACAUCUGCUACAAAUGUGCAGAGGGCCUAGAUCCAGCCAAGGCAUGUCCUUUGGUUGGUGGUUCAGUCUUUGGGAACCCCCAAGGGUCCAGAUUAGUUGACUCAGAUGGUCUUCUUAUAGAACCCCUAUCCCCUCCAGAUUCCUCAAUCCUUCCCUUAAGUCUUUCACAAGACAAAGUCUUGAUUCAAGAAAUCAGGUCAAAGCAGGAAAGGAACAUGUCAGAAUUAUAUCCUGGUAUGAGUUCAACUGUGGCCCUCUGAAAUGUUUUUAGAAGCCUUAAUGCUAAGUGUCUAUGAUGUAAUUUAAAUGAAAAUAGCAUCUUUGUAGAUACCAUUAAGCUAUAAUGCAACUGCUAAGGUAAAACCAAAUCCAAUGUGACUGGAGUUACUGUAGGAAGAGAAGGAACACAGACAUAUGGAGAGGGCACCAGUGCUGAGGAAGACAGAUCUGGAGGGUCAAGUAUCCACAAGAAUUUAGUUUUAACCCAGUCACUCAGAGCUCAAAGACUCAAAGGCCAAGACUCCCCUAGAACAUCAAGAAAGAUCUUACCCUAGGGAAAUUUUGAUCUCACUUAUUUAGUUAGGUUGACUGGUCAACUGUAUGGAUGAUCAUCCUAACUCUAUGCACAUACAUCCCAUUUCUUUGGGUACAGGAGAGUACUGCCAACCAGACUUUUUAUGUGGGCUCUGGAGAGCUGAACUCAGACCUUCUUCCUUGUUCCUUGCAUUCCUAGAAUGCAAUGUCCUAAUCGAGCCACUUCCCUACUCCUCAAAAUGACAUUUAAUACAAAACCUCACAGUACUCUGCAAGAUUAUCAAAUCAAAAUUAUCUUAUGGUUUUUUGUUUGUUGUGGUUCUGUUAUUAUUUCUUUGUUUCAUAAAGAGUAAGUGUGAAGUAAAAAUGUACCCAAACUGGGGGACAUUAUUCUUCAACUCUGCCCAAAAGAAUUCCUUCCUGGGCCCUGCAAAAAAUGUUCUUUCUUUUCCUCCCUUUAGUCUGAAGCAGAACAUAUUUAAGAGCUUGCUGCACAAGGGCAACACUAAAGUGAAACAUAACAGUAUUUUUUUUUUUUACUUUCCAGCUCCAGUCAUAGGCAAUAGAAGAGUAGAUUGUCCUGGUUCUGAGGACAAAACUGUAACAAUUGGCUCUUAGCCUUAUGAAGUGUCUAACUGCUGUAGACUCACAAGCACACAUUCAUGGCCAUGUUACUUGUCCUGAGGCAUGAGGAUGAGAUUUUUACACUGAACAGACCUAAGUAUUAAGUAAAGAUGCACAUGGUCAAGGGCAUGAUUGCCUCUGUGGAUUCAAGCUUCAUACAGACAGUUUGAUUUUAUUCUUCUGAAUAGAUCAAAUAUUUUUCUAUUCUUCCCAAAGCCCUCUUAGUUUCUUAUUGUUCAUUUAUUCAUCAAAUAUCUGAGUCCUUUCUAUAAACAAAAUGCUGCAUCAAGCUCAAUAGUAAUAAGACUAUGCAAGUAACUUUACCACUCUGGAGUCCAAUUUGAAUACAAGCUCAAUACCGCUUGUGAAAAUGUGUGGAGCCAGGAACAUUUCACACUUUGAAGUUGCCCAGAUUUUGAAAUAUUUGCAUACAUUUUACUACCUGAUUAUUCCUAGUUUUCUCAGCCCAAAUCUAUAGAUAAGAUGUGACAUCUUCAAUUUGACAAUGUGGGUCUUAACUCCUGUAUAUUGUUGGAUAUGAUUUGUUUUCUACCUUCUUGACUGGCAUCUCUGUUAUAUAUCUGGUCCCCUAGGACUUUAGAUGUAGGCUCUCAAGAGGACUAUAUGGAUCUGAUAUUGACAUCUGGGAAAGAGGAGCUGGAUUCCCUGGCUCUGGAUGUAGCUAUAGUCACUGGUCCCCAUUCUUUCCUUUAUGCCCAAUGUUUCUUCUCUUUUGUUGAUGUUUGUACCGUAUGAAAUGUUUUGAAAAAUAAAUACCUUUAAUAUC
rnacentral:lncRNA from 1 species